rnacentral:rRNA from 1 species
CCUACGGGUGGCAGCAGUCGAGAAUCAUUCACAAUGGGGGAAACCCUGAUGGUGCGACGCCGCGUGGGGGAAUGAAGGUCUUCGGAUUGUAAACCCCUGUCAUGUGGGAGCAAAUUAAAAAGAUAGUACCACAAGAGGAAGAGACGGCUAACUCUGUGCCAGCAGCCGCGGUAAUACAGAGGUCUCAAGCGUUGUUCGGAAUCACUGGGCGUAAAGGGUGCGUAGGCUGUUUCGUAAGUCGUCUGUGAAAGGCGCGGGCUCAACCCGCGGACGGCACAUGAUACUGCGAGACUAGAGUAAUGGAGGGGGAACCGGAAUUCUCGGUGUAGCAGUGAAAUGCGUAGAUAUCGAGAGGAGCACUCGUGGCGAAGGCGGGUUCCUGGACAUUAACUGACGCUGAGGCACGAAGGCCAGGGGAGCGAAAGGGAUUAGAUACCCCGGUAAUC